rnacentral:rRNA from 1 species
UACAGAGGGGGCAAGCGUUGUUCGGAAUUACUGGGCGUAAAGGGCGCGUAGGCGGCCUGCUAAGUCGAACGUGAAAUCCCCAGGCUUAACCUGGGAACUGCAUCCGAUACUGGAUGGCUUGAAUUCGGGAGAGGGAUGCAGAAUUCCAGGUGUAGCGGUGAAAUGCGUAGAUAUCUGGAGGAAUACCGGUGGCGAAGGCGGCAUCCUGGACCGACAUUGACGCUGAACGGCGAAAGCUAGGGGAGCAAACGGG